CGGACGGGUGAGUAACACGUGGAUAACCUACCUAUAAGACUGGGAUAACUUCGGGAAACCGGAGCUAAUACCGGAUAAUAUUUUGAACCGCAUGGUUCAAAAGUGAAAGACGGUCUUGCUGUCACGUUAUAGAUGGAUCCGCGCUGCAUUAGCUAGUUGGUAAGGUAACGGCUUACCAAGGCAACGAUGCAUAGCCGACCUGAGAGGGUGAUCGGCCACACUGGAACUGAGACACGGUCCAG
rnacentral:rRNA from 1 species